GUGCUCGUUUUGGCAGCACAUACAUUAAAAUCGGAACUAUACAGAGAUUAGCAUGGCCCCUGCAUGAGGAUAACAUACAAAUUCAUUAAGCUUUCCAUGUUUUU